UACGUAGGGGGGCAAGCGUUGUCCGGAUUUAUUGGGCGUAAAGAGCGUGUAGGCGGCCUGAAAGGUCAGCUGUGAAAACUCGAGGCUCAACCUCGAGACGUCGGUUGAAACCAUCUGGCUAGAGUCCGGAAGAGGAGAGUGGAAUUCCCGGUGUAGCGGUGAAAUGCGCAGAUAUCGGGAAGAACACCCCGUGGCGAAGGCGGCUCUCUGGGACGGUACUGACGCUGAGACGCGAAAGCUAGGGGAGCAAACAGGG
rnacentral:rRNA from 1 species